rnacentral:rRNA from 1 species
AACGAACGCUGGCGGCAGGCUUAACACAUGCAAGUCGAGCGCCCCGCAAGGGGAGCGGCAGACGGGUGAGUAACGCGUGGGAACGUACCCUUUGCUACGGAAUAGCUCCGGGAAACUGGAAUUAAUACCGUAUGUGCCCUACGGGGGAAAGAUUUAUCGGCAAAGGAUCGGCCCGCGUUGGAUUAGCUAGUUGGUGGGGUAAUGGCCUACCAAGGCGACGAUCCAUAGCUGGUCUGAGAGGAUGAUCAGCCACAUUGGGACUGAGACACGGCCCAAACUCCUACGGGAGGCAGCAGUGGGGAAUAUUGGACAAUGGGCGCAAGCCUGAUCCAGCCAUGCCGCGUGAGUGAUGAAGGCCUUAGGGUUGUAAAGCUCUUUCACCGGUGAAGAUAAUGACGGUAACCGGAGAAGAAGCCCCGGCUAACUUCGUGCCAGCCGCCGCCGUAACAC